rnacentral:rRNA from 1 species
AACGAACGCUGGCGGCAUGCCUAACACAUGCAAGUCGAACGAGACCUUCGGGUCUAGUGGCGCACGGGUGCGUAACGCGUGGGAACCUGCCCUUAGGUUCGGAAUAACUCCCCGAAAGGGGUGCUGAUACCGGAUAAUGUCUUCGGACCAAAGAUUUAUCGCCUUUGGAUGGGCCCUCGUUGGAUUAGCUAGUUGGUAGGGUAAAAGCCUACCAAGGCGACGAUCCAUAGCUGGUCUGAGAGGAUGAUCAGCCACACUGGGCCUGAGACACGGCCCAGACUCCUACGGGAGGCAGCAGUAGGGAAUAUUGGACAAUGGGCGAAAGCCUGAUCACGCAAUGCCGCGUGAGUGAUGAAGGCCUUAGGGUUGUCAAGCUCUUUUACCCGGGAUGAUAAUGACAGUACCGGGAGAAUAAGCUCCGGCUAACUACGUG